rnacentral:rRNA from 1 species
UUCCGGUUGAUCCUGCCGGAGGCUACCGCUAUUGGAGUUCGAUUAAGCCAUGCGAGUCGCGAGUCUUCAAGGACUCGGCGUACCGCUCAGUAACACGUGGGUAACCUGCCCUAUGCUGGGGGAUAACCUCGGGAAACUGAGAAUAAUACCCCAUAGUUCACCACGCCUGGAACGGUGGGUGGAUGAAAGCUCCGGCGGCAUAGGAUGGGCCUGCGGCGUAUCAGGUUGUAGGGGGUGUAAUGUACCCUCUAGCCAUCUACGCGUACGGGUGUUGGGAGACAUCGCCCGGAGAUGGAUUCUGAGACACGAAUCCAGACCCUACGGGGUGCAGCAGGCGCGAAAACUUGGCAAUGCGAGCAAUCGUGACCAGGGAACUCCAAGUGCAUCGGGUAAGACCGAUGCUUUUCUUGACUCUUCAAAGGUCUUGGAAUAAGGGGUGGGUAAGGACGGUGCCAGCCGCCGCGGUAAUACCGGCGCCUCAAGUGGUAGUCGCUUUUAUUGGGCCUAAAACGUCCGUAGCCGGUUUGGUACAUUCGUGGGUAAAUCAAGGCGCUCAACGUCUUGAAUUCUGCGAGCACGGCCAGACUUGGGACCGGGUGAGGUGUGGGGUACUCUCAGGGUAGGGGUAAAAUCCUGUCAUCCUGAGAGGACCACCUGUUGCGAAGGCGCCACACUAGAACGGAUCCGACGGUCAGGGACGAAGCCUAGGGGCACGAACCGGAUUAGAUACCCGGGUAGUCCUAGGUGUAAACGCUGUGGACUUGAUGUUGGGAGUGCUCCGAGCACCCUCAGUGUCGAAGCGAAGGUGAUAAGUCCACUGCCUGGGGAGUACGGUCGCAAGGCUGAAACUUAAAGGAAUUGGCGGGGGAGCACUGCAACCUGAGGAUUGUGCGGUUUAAUUGGAGUCAACGCCGGA